ensembl:snRNA U6 U6 spliceosomal RNA
UCACUUCGGCAGUAAAUGUAGUAAAAUUGGAACAAUAUGAAGAAGAUCAACAUUGCCCCUGCACAAAGAUGGCACACAGAUACGUGAAGAUUAAAAAAAAUGG